CCUACGGGAGGCAGCAGUGGGGAAUUUUGGACAAUGGGCGAAAGCCUGAUCCAGCAAUGCCGCGUGAGUGAAGAAGGCCUUCGGGUUGUAAAGCUCUUUUGUCAGGGAAGAAACGGUGGGAGCUAAUAUCUCUUGCUAAUGACGGUACCUGAAGAAUAAGCACCGGCUAACUACGUGCCAGCAGCCGCGGUAAUACGUAGGGUGCAAGCGUUAAUCGGAAUUACUGGGCGUAAAGCGUGCGCAGGCGGUUUUGUAAGUCUGAUGUGAAAUCCCCGGGCUCAACCUGGGAAUUGCAUUGGAGACUGCAAGGCUAGAAUCUGGCAGAGGGGGGUAGAAUUCCACGUGUAGCAGUGAAAUGCGUAGAUAUGUGGAGGAACACCGAUGGCGAAGGCAGCCCCCUGGGUCAAGAUUGACGCUCAUGCACGAAAGCGUGGGGAGCAAACAGGAUUAGAUACCCUGGUAGUCCACGCCCUAAACGAUGUCUACCAGUUGUCGGGUCUUAAUUGACUUGGUAACGCAGCUAACGCGUGAAGUAGACCGCCUGGGGAGUACGGUCGCAAGAUUAAAACGUCAAAGGAAUUGACGG
rnacentral:rRNA from 1 species